rnacentral:lncRNA from 1 species
CCGGGGGGCAGCGGGAUGCGGCCGCGGGCCGCGCCGUCGGGCGCCGGGGUGCGGAGGAGGCGACGGGCUCCGGUCCCCUCGCCCCUUACCUUGCUGCGGAUCUGGCCCGAGGUGGACACUUUCCGGAUGAGUUUCUGGGGGCCCUCGUGCUCCCCUUCGCUGUCCGACGACUCGUCCGCCGCCGCCGCCGGGUGCUGGGGCUGCUGCUGGGGCUGCUGCUGGAUCCCGGCGCCGCUCAUCCCCGCCUCGGCCCCGGCCAUCUUCCCGGACUCCUGCCGAGAGAGAGCACACGAGCCCGGCUCAGCCCGGGCAGCCGCUGCCGCUCCCCUCCCCGGGGAGGAGGGAGGAGGCGGCCGGGAGGGUGGGGAAAGGGGCGGCGCGGGGGGGAGGGACGGAGCCGAGGAAGAGCCGGGCCCCGCUGGUGGGGCCGACCGCUUGGCCGCCAUCUUCCGCCGCCCCCUCCGACGGCCCGGCCCGCCGGCAGCCGCUCCGGGCUCGGAACGGGCCGGGGCGGGCAGGUCCGGCCCCCGAGCCCUCACGGCCGCGGGGAGCGCCGAGCGCGGCUAAAGAUGCAGCGGGCGGGCGGCGAGAGCUGAGGGGCCGGGCGGGCGGCGCCCCCAGGGACGCGGAGGGGAACGGGCCCCAACCCAGGCGCAGCCACGCGUGGGCACUGUCCAGGGGGCUCAGCCCAGCGGCCUGGCACGGGGAGUGGGGCACCUGUGCAGGUGCGGUGGGGAGGUGUGCGGCUGUGCUCCGUGUGUCACAGGCGUCCGGCACUGAAAAGCAAGAAGGCAGCGUGCCUAACGGGAUGCAGCGACUCGGAACGGGCCGUGGUUGUUCUCUCACAUCCGUUUGAUUUUGGUAUUAUUUUGCUCGCAGUUGUAGUCUCCACAUAAGAGUGGUCCUCUGGAGCGGGGAGAAAAGGGUGGCUUCUCCCUUCUCAAGGCAGAUCUGGCAGCUCCCAGGAUCUCGAAAUGUCACCACAUGUUCUGAAUUGUGGGGCUCUGAAACGACUGCGGCUUUGCGUGUAGUCAGUGUUCCAAAUAAGCACUCGGUCUCAGCAAUACCAAAUAAAACACGCGGGUCCCAACUGCAUGGAGCGGAUUAGAGAUGAGAAAGCAGGCAAUACUUGCGGCUUCUCUGUUCCCGCAGUUCUAUUUAUAUUGCUCGAAAGGGAACUGCCAUCUCUCAAUGAGCUAAUACAAGUGCCACGGUACCUAAAUACGGAGCAGCAAAUGAGAAACAAAAGCGAAACCGUAACACAGAACCCAUCCUAUGUUGCCAACGCCGUGCCGUGAGCUGGAUUUUGUACGUUGGAAUAUCCCUCUUCCUUCAUUGGGACUUUCAUCUGUAGUAGGUGAAAUGAAAGAUCCACGUGAAGCCACGCAGGUGUUGUAUCCUAUGUAGGUGUCACCAAAUCAGGUGCUUCUGUGAGGUUCCGCUGCCCUUCUCUAUGUAGGAUCGCUUCUUUUAAGGUAUGUUUUAAAGGAAUUGUGAGUACCUCAUGUUUCUUAUUACAGUAAUAACCGGGCCUAAGUCCUGCCGCCAGUACCACACCUGAAAGUAGAUGAGGUUCUCACGUAGUUCCUUCUCCUCACUCAUCUCAUUCUUCCCCUGAGAGAGCUCUUCUUUCUCAAAAACAUGAGAUAAAACUGGGGCAAGGGCAAGCGUGCGAAGAAUUCACUUCGGACACAGAUAAGAAGAAAGGGUGAGAGAGGAGCUUAGAGACACUUAGUCACCCCAGCUGCCUUCCUUCCUCUUCCUCCUCUCCAGCAACUUCAGAACAGCAGAUUACCCCAGAACAUGGCUUGCUCACUGCAACUAGCAGAGCCUUCUGAAGGUGAAUGACAACUGAGCACUGCAACUAGGUGACAAGACGGUGUGCUAAUUAAUGCUAAUGCAGUCUGCGUAGGGCUGGGACUGCGAUUUGAGGAACGCUGGGUGCUGAUGGAAUACAACGCUCACUGACUCCAUUUAAUUCCACUGAAUUAAGCAGCGCUUAGAUGAACAACACUAUUACUGUUAAAUUUGCUCCCAUGCUAAAAAAGCAUUCAAAAUAUCGGUACAUGUGACAGCUGUGUCUCCACCACAUGACCAUCCUGUGCAAAGCUGAGUGCAAAAUUGUUUACAAGCAAGCGUUUCACCCACCUUCCAGAAUUAAGGUGAAAAGGAGAGACAUUAUCCGUAAUUUGGGAUGAAUAUCUUUGAAUUUAGGGAGGUCACAAAGUUGGCUCAAUUGGUGACCUGAAGUUUGCACCAUCAGGAGAUUUUGUUUUUAAGAAGCAUAAAAUGUAACUUGUUUGCUGCAUGUCUCCUUAGGUAUCUGCAUAGACAGCUCAGGUUUCCUUCACUACACUGCAUUUCAAAUGCAUAAAAGCUGUUAAAUGAACGUCUGUAGGUGAAAUGGGCAAUGCAAAUGGGCAGUAAAGAUGGCUCUCCAGCUUCUGUUUCCAUUCUGAGCUUAACUAUGAGCCCUAGCUCCUGCACAGUGCAUCAUGCAAAGAAGGGUGUCAUCCAUCCCCACGUGGACAUCCCCGUUGCCACCCUCCUCUCCACUGGUUGCCAAAACCCAAAAACCACCGAAUCACAGAAUGGCUUCGGUUGGAAGGGACUUUAAAGGCCAUCCAGUUCCAGUGACAAGGGGAGGGCACGGGGUGCCUGUCACUCUGUCUUAAGUCUCUUCCACUUUGUCUCGAUGAACUUCAGAACUGAAGCACUGGAAACGCUCUCUCUUCUCACAUAAGGUGGAGAGUUCGGUGGGAACAACCAAACUCAGCAAAUAACAGAAAUGCCCCACAAGCACAGUCUGAGGUAAAGCUGCCUGAGGUGUCCCUGGGACUCUCCUUGGAUGAGGACUGCUGGCUGACUCCAUCACUGCAUCUUACCCGAGUGACUGAUGCCAGGCUCAAUGUGAGAAGCACCAUACAGCAGAUUUCAUCUUGGGGAACACAGGUAUGGAUGCUGUGGUAUGAGUGGCACCACUGAAAUCCUCCAGACUUCUACAAGCUCUGAGUCAGGCUCCCGAAGAGCACAUGAUACGUGCUUGAAUUGUGUCUUUCAUCUCACAUACUCAAUUUCACACUUCUUAAUAAUCCCCUUAAAUUUCCUUACUUACAGGAAGCUGGUGAAGAGAGGAAAGAAAGGUUGGCACUGAAAGAGAGAUUCUCAGCUGACACAAAACAGCCCCACUGACAUCAUUUGUGUCAUGGCAGUUGAUAUCAGCUGAUGAUCUGCCCUUUAUAUUCAAAGAAUUCCAAAGUGGUGGCUAAAUAUGGGCACUGUAAGAAUCUCUCCACCAAACAGCUUCCAGUGCUGAUAAUGGAAUACGCAUCACUAAAAAGCAUAUGCGAUGUACCAAAAACCCAAAUACACACUCCAGCUGCUCUGGAGAUUACGGUUUAUAAUGCAGAUUAACGCAUCAUUUGAUUCCAGGAACAGAAAUGAUUCCAGCUCUAAUAUUGAUUCCCACCAUAAUAGGCGUAUUUACCUCUUUUUUUUUCUCUCUAGGUCACUUUGGCAUCUGUAAGCUGGAGGAUAAUAAGUUUUUUUUUUCUCCACCUCAAAAGGUGAAGGUGAGGCUGGGGUCCCAUAUGAGAUGUGGAAGUAGGGGAUAGGACUUUGUAGCCUAGACUGUGUGGGUCUGGAGUGCAGUGCCCCUGAAUGUCCCUACGAAGAGCAGAGGAUGAACCUGAUGCUUUCUGUCACUUCUGUUUGGCUCCUACUGAAGUGGGAAGAUGUUCUUCUCCAUUCAACAGUGAGCUGGGAAUUAAGGUCAGGACUUUACAGAUACCCUAAAUUUUGCAUGGAUGAGCUCAACCCUGGCAUAGCCAAGGAGAAGCUGUGGCUCCAUGUGAUGUCAGCCAGUUGUUCCCCAGAACAGCCAUAGGAACAGCACUGCUAAUCAACACCUGACCUCUCACAGAGGUAAUCACUGUGCACACAUUCCAAGCCUGCAAUGGUUUCCCUCACCCCAUUGCUCCUUUUCUACAUCAAGAGAGAGAAGGAGAGUUCUGGGCACAUUUUUCCUACCCCAUGCAGUUCCUCACCUAAAUCUCCCUUUGUCCCCAUUUCAAGACAAAGCUCACACCAAAGAAAGUGGUCGAUAUGAUCUAUACGAAGAAGAACGAUGCGGUUCUGCCUCAAAGAUGCUGUGUUUUACCAGCAGGUUACCAGGUAAGACGACUGAGUGCUUGGACUGAAAUUGGAGGCUUGUAAAAGGAAAUGAGCGCAGUGGUUAACCUUAAAACUGCAUUCAUGUGUGUACCCUGAACAAAUGCAGCUACGGAACGAUAAACAUGACCCAAAUCCUCUCCUUUAUCGGGGGAGGGGGAGGCUGAGGGGGGGGGGGGAAAGAAAGGAAGUGCUCUGUCUGUGUUUAUCUGCACCCAGAAGGGAGCAGGCUGGGGUGCUCCAGCCAUACGGAGGGGCUGCCAUCCGUCUGCCUCCCGACUUUCGGCUGAGUUUUGGCUGACGGCAGCCAACGUGAAUGUCACUGUUCAGCAGGGCAACGCGUUCAGGGCAAUGGGAUUCACUGCUUUCCUCCCACGGCAUUUUCAUCUCUCCAGGCAAAACGUAGGGUCUGCCUUUGCG